rnacentral:rRNA from 1 species
GAACGCUGGCGGAAUGCUUUACACAUGCAAGUCGAACGGCAGCACGGGAGCAAUCCUGGGUGGCGAGUGGCGAACGGGUGAGUAAUAUAUCGGAACGUGCCCGGUCGUGGGGGAUAACGUAGCGAAAGCUACGCUAAUACCGCAUACGAUCUACGGAUGAAAGCGGGGGAUCGCAAGACCUCGCGCGAUUGGAGCGGCCGAUAUCAGAUUAGGUAGUUGGUGAGGUAAAGGCUCACCAAGCCGACGAUCUGUAGCUGGUCUGAGAGGACGACCAGCCACACUGGGACUGAGACACGGCCCAGACUCCUACGGGAGGCAGCAGUGGGGAAUUUUGGACAAUGGGCGCAAGCCUGAUCCAGCAAUGCCGCGUGCAGGAUGAAGGCCUUCGGGUUGUAAACUGCUUUGUACGGAACGAAACGGUGAGCUCUAAUACAGUUUGCUAAUGACGGUACCGUAAGAAUAAGCACCGGCUAACUACGUG